AUGAAUGGCAGGUAUGGUUUCCUUCUUCGGCAUCUUACUCGUGGUGGGACGCCAGAUCUGGAGUUCGAUGGCAUGUCCGGGGAGUUGCCCCGGUCUGAUUCGUUCAACAGCAAGGGUUUCAUUUUUUGUGAGCCACCUUGGAGGUCCGCAAAGCUGCAUAUCAGCUAUGGAGCCGCGUCGAGCUCGGGUGAGGUGGUGAUUCGUCAUUCUUUUCUUCGGUGGCUACUGUGGUGGUGCCGGAGGCAGGUGACGGGCGUUGGUGUCAAGCUUAGAAAUGUUUUGCUAUCUUUUCAGUUCUGA
rnacentral:rRNA from 1 species